AUUGAACGCUGGCGGCAGGCCUAACACUUGCAAGUCGAGCGGAGCGGCGGACGGGUGAGUAAUGCCUAGGAAUCUGCCUGGUAGUGGGGGAAAACGUCAGGAACCGGGCGCUAAUACCGCAUAAUAUCGGAUGAGACUAGGUAGGAGUAGCUAGUUGGUGGGGUAAAGGCCUACCAAGGCGACGAUCCGUAACUGGUCUGGGAGGAUGAUCAGUCACACUGGAACUGAGACACUGUCCAGACUCCUACGGGAGGCAGCAGUGGGGAAUAUGGGACAAUGGGCGAAAUCAUGAUCCAGCCAUGCCGCGUGUGUGAAGAAGGUCUUCGGAUUGUAAAGCACUUUAAGUUGGGAGGCGUUACCAACAGAAUAAGCACCGGCUAACUUCGUGCCAGCAGCCGCGGUAAUAC
rnacentral:rRNA from 1 species